CGGAAAGACUCCAGAAUGGACGGAUAUCAAAGUGUCUCUCCUCUGAUGUCCCGGGAAGAGCCAGCAUGGCAUGGGCACAUUUCACAUGAACAAACAGCUAAUAAGAGAUCUCAGGAAUGUUGUGUGCAGUAAACCUCAGUUUUCUCCAAGAUCCAAGGUCGCCACAGCAGAAUGACCCACCAACUUAUCCAGCAUAUGUUUUACUCAGCAUAUGCCCUUCCAGGCGCAACCAAGUACUGGGAAACACUCAUACACUACGGGCAGUGUAGUUCAUCCAAUUCACCUAUAGCACAUGUGUUUGGACUGUGGGGGAAACCAGAGCACCCAGAGGAAACCCACGCCAACACAGGGAGAACAUGCAAACUUUACGCAGAAAUGCUAACUGGCCCAGACUCCAACCAGCAACCUUCUUGCUGUGAGAUGA